rnacentral:tRNA from 1 species
CGGGGUGUGGCGCAGUUUGGUAGCGCAUCUGCUUUGGGAGCAGAGGGUCGCAGGUUCAAAUCCUGUCACCCCGA